rnacentral:misc_RNA from 1 species
GAUGAAGAACGCAGCAAAAUGCGAUAAGUAAUGUGAAUUGCAGAAUUCAGUGAAUCAUCGAAUCUUUGAACGCACAUUGCGCCCGCUGGUAUUCCGGCGGGCAUGCCUGUUCGAGCGUCAUUUCAACCCUCAAGCCCCCCGGGUUUGGUGUUGGGGAUCGGCUCUGCCUCACGGCGGUGCCGCCCCCGAAAUACAUUGGCGGUCUCGCUGCAGCCUCCAUUGCGUAGUAGCUAACACCUCGCAACUGGAACGCGGCGCGGCCAUGCCGUAAAACCCCAACUUCUGAAUGUUGACCUCGGAUCAGGUAGGAAUACCCGCUGAACUUAAGCAUAUCAAUAAGCGGAGA